GGGGAUUUGGCUCAGUGGUAGAGCACUUGCCUAGCAAGCGCAAGGCCCUGGGUUCAGUCCCUA
rnacentral:tRNA from 1 species